ensembl:misc_RNA 7SK 7SK RNA
GGAUGUGAGGGCAAUCUGGCCGUGACAUCUGUCACCCCAGUGAUCACCAGGGUUGAUUUGGCUGAUCUGGCUGGCUAGGUGGGUGUCCCCUUCCUCCCUCACCACUCCAUGUGUGUCCCUCCCGAAGCUGUGCGCUCGGUCCAAGAGGACAACCAUCCCCAAUAGAGGAGGACUCGUCUUCAGUCAAGGGUACACGGGUAGCUGCGCUCCCCUGUUAGAACCUCCAAACAAGCUCUCAGAAUGUACUGUGUGACCUUACCAUAAUAUCCUCCAGUUCCCUCCCAAGGAUUUCACUCUUUUUUAUGGCCGAGUAGUAUU